rnacentral:rRNA from 1 species
GAUGAACGCUGGCGGCGUGCCUAAUACAUGCAAGUCGAGCGAACAGACGAGGAGCUUGCUCCUCUGACGUUAGCGGCGGACGGGUGAGUAACACGUGGAUAACCUACCUAUAAGACUGGGAUAACUUCGGGAAACCGGAGCUAAUACCGGAUAAUAUAUUGAACCGCAUGGUUUAAUAGUGAAAGACGGUUUUGCUGUCACCUAUAGAUGGAUCCGCGCCGCAUUAGCUAGUUGGUAAGGUAACGGCUUACCAAGGCAACGAUGCGUAGCCGACCUGAGAGGGUGAUCGGCCACACUGGAACUGAGACACGGUCCAGACUCCUACGGGAGGCAGCAGUAGGGAAUCUUCCGCAAUGGGCGAAAGCCUGACGGAGCAACGCCGCGUGAGUGAUGAAGGUCUUCGGAUCGUAAAACUCUGUUAUUAGGGAAGAACAAAUGUGUAAGUAACUAUGCACGUCUUGACGGUACCUAAUCAGAAAGCCACGGCUAACUACGUG